rnacentral:rRNA from 1 species
AAUAGAUACCCGGGUAGUCCAUGCCGUAAACGAUGUCUACUAGCCGUUGGGGCCUUUGAGGCUUUAGUGGCGCAGCUAACGCGAUAAGUAGACCGCCUGGGGAGUACGGUCGCAAGACUAAAACUCAAAUGAAUUGACGGGGGCCCGCACAAGCGGUGGAGCAUGUGGUUUAAUUCGAUGCAACGCGAAGAACCUUACCUGGCCUUGACAUACUAGAAACUUUCCAGAGAUGGAUUGGUGCCUUCGGGAAUCUAGAUACAGGUGCUGCAUGGCUGUCGUCAGCUCGUGUCGUGAGAUGUUGGGUUAAGUCCCGCAACGAGCGCAACCCUUUCUACUUGCCAGCAUUUCGGAUGGGAACUUUAAGGAUACUGCCAGUGACAAACUGGAGGAAGGCGGGGACGACGUCAAGUCAUCAUGGCCCUUAGGCCAGGGCUACACACGUGCUACAAUGGUCGGUACAAAGGGUUGCGUACACAGCGAUGUGAUGCUAAUCUCAAAAAGCCGAUCGUAGUCCGGAUUGGAGU